UACGAAGGGGGCUAGCGUUGCUCGGAAAUGACUGGGCGUAAAAGGGCGCGUAGGCGGCUUUGUUUAGUCAGGCGUGAAAUUCCUGGGCUUAACCUGGGGGCUGCGCUUGAUACAGGCAGGCUUGAGUGCGGAAGAGGGUCGUGGAAUUCCCAGUGUAGAGGGUGAAAUUCGUAGAUAUUGGGAAGAACACCGGUGGCGAAGGCGGCGACCUGGUCCGUGACUGACGCUGAGGCGCGAAAGCUAGGGGAGCAAACAGG
rnacentral:rRNA from 1 species